rnacentral:lncRNA from 1 species
UUGAUAGUUUUUAUACGACCGCAAAUUUUGAAAAAAUUUUCGUCGUAUAUUGCUAUCACGUUGGCGUCGGCGUCGUCGUCGGCGUCGUCGUCGUCGUCGUCGUCGUCCGGCGUCCGAAUACUUUUAGUUUUCGCACUCUAACUUUAGUAAAAGUGAAUGGAAAUCUAUGAAAUUUUAACACAAGGUUUAUGACCACAAAAGGAAGGUUGUAUUGAUUUUGGGAGUUUUGGUCCCAACAUUUUAGGAAUUAGGGGCCAAAAAGGGCCCAAAUAAGCAUUUUCUUGGUUUUCGCACUAUAACUUUAGUUUAAGUUAAUAGAAAUCUAUGAAAUUUUGACACAAGGUUUAUGACCACAAAAGAACGGUUGGGAUUGAUUUUGGGAGUUUUGGUCUCAACAGUUUAGGAAUUAGGGGCCAAAAAAGGGCCCAAAUAAGCAUUAUUCUUGGUUUUCGCAC